rnacentral:ribozyme from 1 species
UAAAGAAAAAAUAAACAGGAAAAAGAAAACAGGAAAAAGACUCAGAAGAAGCGUGCCACCUGUAUAUCAAAUACAUAAAUCAUUCCUCUUUUUUCUGCUGUAAAAGAAUUUUUAGUCAAAAAGUUACGAACCUACGAAACCAGAAAAAAAAUUUCAGAGCUGGAAGAGAACCUCUAUCGUAUUCGUUUAUUAAAGAAAGAAAAAGAAAAGCCAAACACUACUCUUCUGAUGAUAUCUACUUCCUUCUACAUUCCCUA